UACGAAGGGUGCAAGCGUUACUCGGAAUUACUGGGCGUAAAGCGUGCGUAGGUGGUUUGUUAAGUCUGCUGUGAAAGCCCCGGGCUCAACCUGGGAAUGGCAGUGGAUACUGGCAAGCUAGAGUGCGGUAGAGGGGUGUGGAAUUCCCGGUGUAGCGGUGAAAUGCGUAGAGAUCGGGAGGAACACCAGUGGCGAAGGCGGCCAACUGGACGAAGACUGACGCUGAGACACGAAAGCGUGGGGAGCAAACAGG
rnacentral:rRNA from 1 species